rnacentral:rRNA from 1 species
CCUACGGGAGGCAGCAGUGGGGAAUCUUGCGCAACGGGCGAAAGCCUGACGCAGCCAUGCCGCGUGAAUGAUGAAGGUCUUAGGAUUGUAAAAUUCUUUCACCGGGGACGAUAAUGACGGUACCCGGAGAAGAAGCCCCGGCUAACUUCGUGCCAGCAGCCGCGGUAAUACGAAGGGGGCUAGCGUUGCUCGGAAUUACUGGGCGUAAAGGGAGCGUAGGCGGACUGUUAAGUUAGAGGUGAAAGCCCAGGGCUCAACCUUGGAAUUGCCUUUGAUACUGGCAGUCUUGAGUACGGAAGAGGUAUGUGGAACUCCGAGUGUAGAGGUGAAAUUCGUAGAUAUUCGGAAGAACACCAGUGGCGAAGGCGACAUACUGGUCCGUUACUGACGCUGAGGCUCGAAAGCGUGGGGAGCAAACAGGAUUAGAUACCCCUGUAGUC